rnacentral:rRNA from 1 species
GACACGUGGUAUCCUGUCUGAAUAUGGGGGGACCAUCCUCCAAGGCUAAAUACUCCUGACUGACCGAUAGUGAACCAGUACCGUGAGGGAAAGGCGAAAAGAACCCCGGCGAGGGGAGUGAAAAAGAACCUGAAACCGUGUACGUACAAGCAGUGGGAGCACGCUUAGGCGUGUGACUGCGUACCUUUUGUAUAAUGGGUCAGCGACUUAUAUUCUGUAGCAAGGUUAACCGAAUAGGGGAGCCGAAGGGAAACCGAGUCUUAACUGGGCGUUAAGUUGCAGGGUAUAGACCCGAAACCCGGUGAUCUAGCCAUGGGCAGGUUGAAGGUUGGGUAACACUAACUGGAGGACCGAACCGACUAAUGUUGAAAAAUUAGCGGAUGACUUGUGGCUGGGGGUGAAAGGCCAAUCAAACCGGGAGAUAGCUGGUUCUCCCCGAAAGCUAUUUAGGUAGCGCCUCGUGAAUUCAUCUCCGGGGGUAGAGCACUGUUUCGGCAAGGGGGUCAUCCCGACUUACCAACCCGAUGCAAACUGCGAAUACCGGAGAAUGUUAUCACGGGAGACACACGGCGGGUGCUAACGUCCGUCGUGAAGAGGGAAACAACCCAGACCGCCAGCUAAGGUCCCAAAGUCAUGGUUAAGUGGGAAACGAUGUGGGAAGGCCCAGACAGCCAGGAUGUUGGCUUAGAAGCAGCCAUCAUUUAAAGAAAGCGUAAUAGCUCACUGGUCGAGUCGGCCUGCGCGGAAGAUGUAACGGGGCUAAACCAUGCAC